rnacentral:lncRNA from 1 species
UCAAAAGAUAGUAAAGUGCACUUCCUCCCCUUUUCACUUGAAAUUUAAGUUUUCUAAAAUAUCUUCUACCAGAAAAAAGUUGAAAAGUGGUCAUAUGGCCACCAUGGCUUUUUCUCCUCUUUGUCUUCUGCCAUCAUCUUUUCCCCCCCACAUUAGUUCUCAUUUGAUGUGGGUGAGGGAGAGUGUUUUCAUCUCUCAAAUCACUCACCGUCAACACAUCCUCUUGCUUCUGCCCUUUUUUUUCUUGGUGUGUUUUACUAUCUGAGUUUCUUCACCAUGAGUAGCGCAGAGAGAUGGGUGUUGUGGACAGACAUGAUACAGCUGUGAAUGGGGUUGGAGGAUCAGGGUUGAGGAGAUUAAGGGGAAAAAAGAAACAGAAAAGGAAACCCAUAAACUUUUGGUUGAUGUGGUGGCAUGGUUUUGCUAAAGCAGAUGGGAGAUUCAUUGUGCAUUCUUUUCCGUCUGAACUGUGGAUCCAAUUGUUUAAGAUGAAUAGUUGAAUUCACAGCCGCGUCUUCCCUCUUCAGGGCUUGGAAUUUGUUUUCUUUCACUAAUAUUCGAGAGUUUUCCAUGUUUAUAUGUUCUCUUGGCUUUGGCUCAUUUCUACCAAUCAAUUUGUUUAUGCUUGGAUUUAAAUAUUAUAAGUUUCUCUCCCUUUUCUUACUUGUUAUUUCUUUAUUGUACUCUGCUUUUUUGUUUAUAGUUUGCUCUUGCUGUGGAUUCUCAUUUUAUGGGAGAAGAUAUUGGAAAGGUUUCUUGUUCUUUUUCUUCUUUUGAAUCAUAAUUGUAUAACCCUUUUCUCUUUAAUUUAUUAUAUGUUCAAUGAUUGAUUCUCUUCUCA